ACAGCGAUUUUGUCUUUAGCAACAUUUUCCACUAAAUCUCACUAUAUUUUCCACAUUUUGGAAUCCUUCAGAAAUAAGGGAAUUGACCCAUUCAUUGACAAUGAUAUAAAGAGGAGUAAGUCGAUCGGUCCUGAGCUCGUAGAAGCUAUCAAAGGAUCAAAGAUCGCGAUCGUCUUGCUCUCCAAGAACUAUGCUUCUUCGUCUUGGUGUCUUGAUGAGUUGGCAGAGAUCAUGAAAUGCAGGGAAGUGUCGGGUCAGAUUGUCAUGACCAUUUUCUAUGAUGUGGAUCCAACUGAUAUAAAGAAACAAAUUGGAGAUUUUGGAAAAGCCUUUAAAAAAACAUGUAAAGGUGAAACAAAAGAGCGUACUGAGAGAUGGAGAAUAGCUUUGGAGGAUGUGGCCCAAAUCGCUGGAUAUCAUUCUCGCAACUGUUUCUUCAGGUUAAACUAAUGUACACCCAAACACGAUUGUGGAGUUCUGAUAUUUUGACAAGGUACUGGACUUGCUUAAAGAUGCAUGUGAGUUUUUGCUGGAUAGUAUCACUGUGGAAAGUUGAUGAUAUAUGGUUUCACAGUCCUACCGUUGGAAGACGCUAGUGGACGAGGGUGUGUGUACACGGGACUCUUUGGAACACACAAACGCAUGAGAGACUAUACCGAGGAAUCUCUUCCAAGAAAACUACAAAAUGUUGACAUUACCAUUUUUUUUUCUGUUGGGGAAAAAAGGUUACAUGUAUUUUAGGGACCAAUCUGGCAUGUAUUCUAGACUAGAGAAGGACCAAUCAGGCGAGUACUAUAUUGCUGGUUCAUAACAGGAUAUAUAGUUACCUCAUACCUGAACAGACUACUGAAAUCAUGUGCUGGAACCACUACACUAUAUAUAUGCUGAGUACUAAGAAACCAGGUCAUGUCACUGCUACAAACUGUAUCUAAUAAUUCCCGGUUUCUUUAUGGAUUCUUAAUAGACGUAUUGCAGAUA